rnacentral:rRNA from 1 species
GACGAACGCUGGCGGCGUGCCUAACACAUGCAAGUAGAACGCAGUUGCGAACGGGUGAGUAACGCGUAGGUAACUGCCUCAUAGCGGGGGAUAACUAUUGGAAACGAUAGCUAAUACCGCAUACUGUGAGAUGGACCUGUGUUGUAUUAGCUAGUUGGUGAGGUAAAGGCUCACCAAGGCGACGAUACAUAGCCGACCUGAGGGGGUGAUCGGCCACACUGGGACUGUGGCACGGCCCAGACUCCUUCGGGAGGCAGCAGUAGGGAAUCUUCGGAAAUGGGCGGAAGUCUGACCGAACAAAGGCGCGUGAGUGGAGGAGGGUUUCGGAUCGUAAAGGUCUGUUGUUAGAGGAGCGUUAACUAACCAGGAAGGGACGGCUAACUACGUGCCAGCAGCCGCGGUAAUUC